rnacentral:misc_RNA from 1 species
UUUGUUUAUACAACAUAGAAUAAUAUAUAUCUUUGUUUAAUCCAUGUCAAUAUAUAUAUUUUAUUUUUUAUAUUAUUUGAAUAAAACAUUCAAAUAAUAUAAACAUCUAAAAACAUAAAAAAUAAAAUCAAUGUUUAAAGUAUAAAAUAAAAACCCUGGCAAUAAC